GGCGGUGUUGCCGAGUGGUUAGGCAGCGGCCUGCAAAGCCGUUUACACCGGUUCGAUUCCGGUCGCCGCCU
rnacentral:tRNA from 1 species